AAGUUGCGAUACGUAGUGUGAACUGCGUCUAUUAGUGAAUCAUCGAAUCUUUGAACGCACAUUGCGCCGCCCGUCGCUGGGUGGCAUGCCUGUCUGAGCGUCGCUCUAAACCCUCACACCCCAAUUGGGUUGUGGUCAUGGGCCUCGCCCCUCCCUUCCAUUGGGUGGGGCGUGGCCUGAAAGGCAUCGGUCGCUGGCCCCCCUUUGGGUCUCGGUGUGCGAGUCUGCUUGACGUCUCGCCGGGACCGAUCGGGGGCAGGGGAGACCCUAAACUUCUGAACCUUUGACCUCAGAUCAGGUAGGACUACGGGCUGAACUUAA
rnacentral:misc_RNA from 1 species